rnacentral:rRNA from 1 species
UACGCAGGUGGCGAGCGUUGCCCGGAAUCACUGGGCGUGAAGGGUGCGUAGGCGGCUGGACAAGUCGCAGGUUAAAGCCCGGGGCUCAACCCCGGAAAGGCCUGCGAUACUGUCUGGCUUGAGGGCCGGAGAGGCUGGCGGAAUUCCCGGUGUAGGGGUGAAAUCCGUAGAUAUCGGGAGGAACACCGGUGGGGAAGCCGGCCAGCUGGACGGUCCCUGACGCUGAGGCACGAAAGCGUGGGGAGCAAACCGG